GGCCUCCCGAGCCGGGCGUUAAAUCGACCGCUUCGGGAGCACGGCCCCAAGGUUAACCCUCAACUGAAUGCCGGGGCCCCGCACAAGCGGUGGAGCAUGUGGUUUCAUUAGAUGCAACGCGAAGAACCUUCCCUGGUUUUGACAUGCAGGGAAACCUCCAGAGAUGGGUUGGAGCCUUCGGGAACUCUGCCACCGGUGCAGCCUUGCAGUCUUCCCCCCUUCUUCUUAAAAGAAGGGGUUAACCCCCCGAAGGCCGCCAUCCCACUCCCUGCCUGGCCGCAUCUUGGGCGGGGACCUUAAAGAAUAUUCCCCACUGCUAACUCGAGUAAGCGUCGGGAGCGUGUAACUCAUCCAGGGCCGUUAGGAGUAGGCUCAGACAAGUCCCCGAUCGUCGCCUCCAAGGGGCAGCGCCCCCCCGAGAGCAAGCGGACCUCAUAAAGUACGUGGUAGUCCGGAUUGGAGUCUGCAACUCGACUCCAUGAAGUCGGAAUCGCUAGUAAUCGUAGAUCAGAAUGCUACGGUGAAUACGUUCCCGGGCCUUGUACACACCGCCCGUCACACCAUGGGAGUGGGUUGCAAAAGAAGUAGGUAGCUUAACCUUCGGGAGGGCGCUUA
rnacentral:rRNA from 1 species